rnacentral:rRNA from 1 species
GACGAACGCUGGCGGCGUGCUUAACACAUGCAAGUCGAACGGAAAGGCCCUGCUAUUGUGGUGUGCUCGAGUGGCGAACGGGUGAGUAACACGUGAGUAACCUGCCCUUGACUUUGGGAUAACUUCAGGAAACUGGGGCUAAUACCGGAUAGGAGCUUCUUCUGCAUGGUGGGGGUGGGAAAGUUUCGGCGGUUGGAGAUGGAGUCGAGGCUUAUCGGCUUGUUGGUGGGGUAGUGGCUUACCAAGGCUUUGAAGGGUAGCCGGCCUGAGGAGGUGAGCGGCGACAUAGGGACUGAGAUACUGCCCAGACUCGUACGGGAGGCAGGAGUGGGGAAUAUUGCACAAUGGGCGGAAGCCUGAUGCAGCAACGCAGCGUGCGGGAGGACGGCCAUCGGGUUGUAAACCGCUUUCGCCAUUGACGAAGCGUGAGUGACGGUAAUGGGUAAAGAAGCACCGGCUAACUACGUG